GUUCUGCAUCACACAGGUUGCCAGGGAAAUGGGGGAAAGAUGGCAGCCACAGACCUCACCCACCUCCCACUCAGCCCAUGGCCUGAAAGGCCAGUUUCACUCCCACCAUGCCCCCAGCCCCACCCAAAAGCACUGAGUUUAUUUCUAGGCAGCUGAUGAGCAGGACCGAGAACUUGCCCCAGGCUACAAGCCUCCCAGCUGAGAAAGCAAGGGGACUCACAGUUCCUUGGCUGCCCAUGGAGCCUGCAGUGGCAAUCAACUGUCUUCAACGCAUCUGUGGAUUCUCUCAGCUUUCCUGGAUCUCCAUUCCCCAUUUCAGUUCCCGGAAGGCUUGAUAAAAGAUAAAGCUUCGACCUCAAAAAAUAAAAAAAAUAAAAAUUUUAAAAAGC
rnacentral:lncRNA from 1 species